ACAGGAACCUUAUAUUUUGUGUGUGC
rnacentral:piRNA from 1 species